GGGGGCGUAGCUCAGUGGCGGAGCGCUAUGACUAUAAAGGGUCUGGAACGUAGGCAGGUUCGAUUCCUGUCGCCCCUA
rnacentral:tRNA from 1 species